GGCUCACACAGUCGUGAAGACUGAAGUCCCAAGAUCUGCCAUCAGGAAGCUGGAGACCCAGUUCCAGUCUGAGUCCAAAGGCCUGAAAAGCAAGAGAGCUGAUGGUGUAAGUUCUAGUCCAAGUUCGACAGCGGGAGACUGCGGUUCCAGCUCCAGAAGAGUCCGGCAGAGAGGAACCAAAAAAGGCAUGGAAAAUCUUUCCCGGUUGUCAUCGCCUCAGCCUGGAGGGUCAGCUAGUGCCUGUCCAUCCCUGCAGGGCAGCUGCCUCUCACUAGGAGGAGAAUGCUGGGUUUUGCACCUGGGAAGUCUCAGAAGGAAAUCCGGAUUGGGAAGCCUGCUCCUCCAGAGGCUAUCAGCGUGUGGACACCUGCCUGUGCUUAAGAGGUCCAAUCAUUUAUUAUCGUAAUCUAAUUUUGUAGAACAUCAAACUAGAGAAUAAUUUCGGGCUAAAUUGCAUUUGUGUUUUAAUCAAGAGGCCGACGUUAUUGAUUAUGUAAUAAGGCAUUCUCUCUGUUUAUUUUCAUCCUUAAGAAAACAAUAACUUCUUCAUUAAACUCACUCUGACCCUAUUUUGGAGACUUAUUGCUGUGCCUGAAUCCGACAAGACUCAUGCAUAGAAAAGCAGAAUUAGAUGCAUAAAAUACCAAGAGAGAGAGAGAACCUCUAAUUGCAAAAGUAACUCCUGAGGUACAAAGAAUCUACGGCAUCACCCCGAAAGCACUUGCGGGGAGAAGCCUCCUCUCCUCACACCCCCAAGUGGAUGACCCUGUGACUGAGUCAUUAGAGGGCUGGCCAAGCGAGCUCCUGAUUCCAUCACUGCUGGAGACUGAAGAGCUUGGCUGAAUUAUCCAGACACGCUUCGUGUGGAACCCUGUGAAAGUCCUACAUUGCUUAUGAAGUUACCAUCCUGUUAUAAACUGAAGAAGGAGCCCUCAGCAGUCAAUGAUGAACAGUGUUGAGGGAAGGUGUCAUCUGUCAUAUCAGUGCAGUGAGAGUCCUCAUAAAAACACAGCUGGACAUUUUCCUCAGCUUUACAAAUCAUCUUUCCAUUUUGGUGCUCUUGGGGUUCUCCUCCACUGAACCUUGAAAUGCUAUUCCCUAGGAGCAAUUGAGAAAUCCAAUGUUUAGCACUGUUUUUUAAGUGUCAUAGGAGGUUCAUAAAGAUGUGUUGAGUUAAAGAGAUGGG
rnacentral:lncRNA from 1 species